rnacentral:rRNA from 1 species
GAUGAACGCUGGCGGCGUGCCUAAUACAUGCAAGUCGAGCGAACAGAUGAGGAGCUUGCUCCUCUGACGUUAGCGGCGGACGGGUGAGUAACACGUGGAUAACCUACCUAUAAGACUGGGAUAACUUCGGGAAACCGGCGCUAAUACCGGAUAAUAUAUUGAACCGCAUGGUUCAAUAGUGAGAGACGGUUUUGCUGUCACUUAUAGAUGGAUACGGGCCGCAUUAGCUAGUUGGUAGGGUAACGGCUUACCAAGGCAACGAUGCGUAGCCGACCUGAGAGGGUGAUCGGCCACACUGGAACGGGGACACGGUCCAGGCUCCUACGGGAGGCAGCAGUAGGGAAUCUUCGGCAAUGGGCGAAAGCCUGACGGAGCAACGCCGCGUGAGUGAUGAAGGUCUUCGGAGCGUAAUACUCUGUUAUUAGGGAAGAACAAAUGUGUAAGGAACUAUGCACGUCUUGACGGUACCGAAUCAGAAAGCAACGGCUAACUACGUG